rnacentral:rRNA from 1 species
ACGGAACGCUGGCGCGUGCUUAAUACAUGCAAGUCGAGCGAGGUUACUGUUUCGGAUCCCUUCGGGGUGAAAAAGCUUUAACCUAGCGGCGGACGGGUGAGUAACGCGUGGGUAACCUACCCCAAAGUCCGGGAUAACAGCGGGAAACCGCUGCUAAUACCGGAUGCCUUUACCUUGGGGCAUCUUGAGGUAAAGAAGGUAACGCUUUGGGAUGGGCCCGGUCCCAUUAGCUAGUUGGUGAGGUAACGGCUCACCAAGGCGACGAUGGGUAGCCGGCCUGAGAGGGUGGACGGCCACACUGGGACUGAGACACGGCCCAGACUCCUACGGGAGGCAGCAGUAGGGAAUAUUGCGCAAUGGACGGAAGUCUGACGCAGCGACGCCGCGUGAGUGAUGAAGGUCUUCGGAUCGUAAAGCUCUGUCCUUGGGGAAGAAGGCGAAAGCUUGACGGUACCCAAGAAGAAAGCCCCGGCUAACUACGUG